rnacentral:rRNA from 1 species
GGGUGCGAUCAUACCAGCACUAAUGCCCCAGAUCCCAUCAGACCUUCGAAGUUAAGCGUGCUUGAGCGAGGGUAGUACUAGGAUGGGUGACCCCCGAAGUCCUCGUGUUGCACCCU